AUACGUAGGGGGCGAGCGUUGUCCGGAAUGAUUGGGCGUAAAGGGCGCGUAGGCGGCGAUGCAAGUCGGUAGUGGAAGUCCUGUUUUCAAGGCAGGAAUUGCUAUUGAAACUGCAUGGCUUGAGUGCAGGAGAGGUUAUCGGAAUUCCCGGUGUAGCGGUGAAAUGCGUAGAGAUCGGGAGGAACACCAGUGGCGAAGGCGGGUAACUGGACUGCAACUGACGCUGAGGCGCGAAAGUGUGGGGAGCAAACAGGAUUAGAUACCCUGGUAGUCCACACUGUAAACGAUGAAUGCUAGGUGCAGGGGGUAUCGACCCCUUCUGUGCCGCAGUAAACACAUUAAGCAUUCCGCCUGGGGAGUACGGUCGCAAGAUUAAA
rnacentral:rRNA from 1 species